UACGUAGGUGGCGAGCGUUAUCCGGAUUUACUGGGUGUAAAGGGUGUGUAGGCGGGUCGGCAAGUCGGAUGUGAAAAUCAAGGGCUCAACUCUUGACCUGCGUCCGAAACUGUCGGUCUUGAGUGCCGGAGGGGUAAACGGAAUUCCCGGUGUAGCGGUGAAAUGCGUAGAUAUCGGGAGGAACAUCGGCGGCGAAGGCGGUUUACUGGACGGCAACUGACGCUGAGACACGAAAGCGUGGGGAGCAAAC
rnacentral:rRNA from 1 species